UACGUAGGGUGCAAGCGUUGUCCGGAAUUAUUGGGCGUAAAGAGCUCGUAGGCGGUUUGUCGCGUCUGCUGUGAAAACCCGAGGCUCAACCUCGGGCCUGCAGUGGGUACGGGCAGACUAGAGUGCGGUAGGGGAGAUUGGAAUUCCUGGUGUAGCGGUGGAAUGCGCAGAUAUCAGGAGGAACACCAAUGGCUAAGGCAGAUCUCUGGGCCGUAACUGACGCUGAGGAGCGAAAGCAUGGGGAUCGAACAGG
rnacentral:rRNA from 1 species